rnacentral:rRNA from 1 species
AUGGCCUCCGGCUCCGAUCCCGACGCGCGCUACGCCGAGCUCGCCUCCCUCUCCGGUGAGAAGCUCGUGGACCUCCUCCGCACCACCCACCGCAGGGCCGACUUCGAAGCGGUCGCGCGCGUUCUCAGAGCGCGGGAUCGGAGGAUCGCCAAGGCUGAGGCCGCGCUCUCCGCCAUCGACUCUCUGCGGAAGAAGUACAAUGCGCUCCUGGACGAGCACCAUCGCUCGCGGGGCGAGGCCGAAGAGAUGGCGCCCCUGUUGGGUGCCGCGGCCCUUGACCAGGUGCGUAGGGACGAGCCGCGCGUCGAGGAGUUGGACGAUGUGCCGCUGAAUCGGCGUUUGAAGCGGCCGAGGCAAGGCGAGACCAGUGUUGUGGAAUCGGUGAAGAGGAUUGGACAGGGGCAGAGCAAGCCGGUCGCUACUCCGGAGAUUUCGAAGCAGGGGCCGGGAAUUGUGGCACCGGAGAUGUUGGGUGGAGGAGGAAUGCCCCGGACACAGACACUGCCUCUUCUUUCCCCGGGGCUUCUUCACAGGAGUGUUCUACUACCAAAGGUUUCGCCCCAAAGUGGCCAUGGCAGAGCCAAAUUUGGCAAGAAAGAAGGCUCAUCUCAUGGUGUCCUAGCAAGGGAAGUUAGUGAAGUACGCAGGGGAAAUGGUAAAAUUAUCCAAACAUCAAGGGCGGAAUCAUCAUCCACAUGUGCUAGCAAGAUAUCUGGGACUGCAACGAAAGAGUGCCGAUCCCUUUGUAGACAGAGACAGACUGAGGAAUGGAGGUUAGCAAAGGGAGGACUUCCAAUGGAGGAGACAAGAAUGGCCGCAUCUCAUCCUUCUCUGGGCAUUCGCAGCCUCUCUGGGGCAGAGCUUCGACGAUAUUUUCUCAAGCCAGAACGAACUGCCCCAGCUUCUUCUAUAGAAAAGAAAACGCAAAAUUUCUGCGAUUUGACCAAGAGAGGAAAUGGCUUGUCUAAGAAACUUCAGGGUGUGUCCUCGAAAAAUAAACUGCUGGGUGGAGACUGA